GAUGAACGCUGGCGGCGUGCUUAACACAUGCAAGUCGAACGGUGAAGGCGGAGCUUGCUCUGCUGGAUCAGUGGCGAACGGGUGAGUAACACGUGAGCAAUCUGCCCCUGACUCUGGGAUAAGCGCUGGAAACGGCGUCUAAUACUGGAUACGAGCUGCGAAGGCAUCUUCAGCAGCUGGAAAGAACUUCGGUCAGGGAUGAGCUCGCGGCCUAUCAGCUUGUUGGUGAGGUAACGGCUCACCAAGGCGUCGACGGGUAGCCGGCCUGAGAGGGUGACCGGCCACACUGGGACUGAGACACGGCCCAGACUCCUUCGGGAGGCAGCAGUGGGGAAUAUUGCACAAUGGGCGAAAGCCUGAUGCAGCAACGCCGCGUGAGGGACGACGGCCUUCGGGUUGUAAACCUCUUUUAGCAGGGAAGAAGCGAAAGUGACGGUACCUGCAGAAAAAGCGCCGGCUAACUACGUG
rnacentral:rRNA from 1 species